UUUGUAGUCCUGGGGUGCUGUUAUAUAACCAGGUUGUAACGGCUGAGAUUAAACCCGAAUACCUGAUCUGGGUAAUGCCAGCGUAGGAAUCAAAACUAUGUAUAAGUUA
rnacentral:ncRNA from 1 species